GAGUGUGUAGGAAAAUUGGUAACCCCAGCGGAUUGUAAAUCCGCCGCCGCAAGCACUGACCGUUCGACUCGGUCCACACUCG
rnacentral:tRNA from 1 species